rnacentral:lncRNA from 1 species
AUGGCCCCGCGUGUGCGGCAGGUGCUACCUGGUCGGGGCGGUUUCCCGAGUCCACGCCGCUCGACGCCCGAUCCGUUCUUAUCUAUUCUUUCACCGCCCAUCUGUCCCGUCGAGCCAUAGCGCUCGCCGCCCUCGAUAGCUACCUCCGCGCCGUCCCACCCGAGGCCGUCGCUGCCGUCGUCGACCUCGUGUUCGCCUCCUCCCCAUCCUCCACCUCGCCCUCCAAGCUCUUCCGCACACUCCUCUUCUCCUUCCCGAAGGUACCGCUCGCCCUGGCCGCCGUCUCCUUCUCUUCUCUCCCCACCAGUUUCCACUCAACCAUCUUUCUUGCAGGUGUAGGACGACGGUCACGGCCAUGCCGCCGGCUUCUGCCAUCCGCUCCCCCGCCUCUGCUACCCCAGGGACGCUAUGUGUGCACUUCUCGUGAGGGUCUUCCGGUCGCUCCUCCACCGGGAGGACGCCCAGCCUAGCCGGCUCCAGCAACAGGCCGGAAUGUCACUGGCCCAGACCUGCACCAUCUUCUCAAUCGAUCUGCUGCAGCGAGCUAUGUAGAUUCUGAUGGAUGAAGUGCAUGGUUUUUGUGUGCAGAAGAGAGCACGUGAACGAGGGGCUCUCCGGCGAAAUUGUGGGAGAUGCCGGGGCCGGGGGGCAGCGACCGCUCGUACGAUGCGGGCUGGGAUGAUUCGACCACCGCGAUGGGGCCCAUCGCCCACCUUUUCGACCUCCUUCCCGGUCGACCAGGUCAAAAUGUCUCAAGCCAAAAUUCAAAGGAAUGUCUCAUAAUUUUGCAUCUUCUGAACAAGAAUAAAAUAGAGCAGCGCAGUAGCUCGUUCAGAAAUUCAAACAAGGUUGGGGUAUUAGAGUACAGUUCAGAUGCAAAUGGAAAGUCUUAGUUCUACUCAAAGAGAAUGAUGAUGAUUCGGAUUGCAAGCUUGGCUAGUAGUACACCGAUCAUAUCUCGAGAGUGGUCUGGUAGAAGGCAUUCAUAAUCGCACAUAGCGUGCAUCUGAUUAAGCUUGGCAUCCUUGUCUGAUCUCAGUUGCACAUCCACAACCGAGUUGUACAUCAAGAGCUAAAUAGUUGGUCAGAGCAACUGAUUAAGAGGCUCAUCGUCCGCUACGGUGUAACUCAUGAAGUCACAUAUCAUUUGUUUGGCAUAUGUAGUAGUUGUAGUUGCACACAUAAUUAUUUCAGUUGGAUACGAUCACUGGAAAAUUGCACACAUGCUGAUGCUAUGUUGGCUAGAUGAUGUGUCGCGCUCCCGUUGGCAUAGUUGUACAUGUGUGGCCACCGAAUUGCACACUCUCACCGGCAUAGUCGCACAUGCAUGGGUGCGCACCGCCAUAAUAGUUGUAGUCUCC